UAGCCGUAAACGAUACUCGCUAGGUGUCGGCCACGGUGCGACCGUUGUCGGUGCCGUAGGGAAGCCGUGAAGCGAGCCACCUGGGAAGUACGGCCGCAAGGCUGAAACUUAAAGGAAUUGGCGGGGGGAGGCACCACAACGGGUGGAGCUUGCGGUUUAAUUGGACUCAACGCCGGGAAGCUCACCGGAUAAGACAGCGGAAUGAUUGCCGGGCUGAAGACCCUGCAUGACCAGCUGAGAGGUGGUGCAUGGCGUGUGACUGU
rnacentral:rRNA from 1 species